rnacentral:lncRNA from 1 species
UGGCAGGACAGAAAACAACUGGCGAUUUCCCCAGGUCCCAAGCUGUUCCAGAGUGGGCAUGUUGGGUCCCUGUCCCCAAUGUGUUCCAGCCUUACCCAGGUGCACAGAGUACCCUGGGACCAGCACAGGGCUUGUCAAGUAAUGCUCCUGGUGUCCACAAAACAGCUCCAGAGAUACCUGCAUUUUGAAAAGCCUGCCUAGCCAGCAAGUAUGGGGCAGGACCCAGAUUGCUUUGGCAAAUCUGAAGGUGAGCUGGCCACUUGCCUGGUGAGUAGAAGCUGCCUUUACCUGGCCAGUGUAUGCAACUUGAGAGAAAAUGACAACUUCACAGGGGGGUUCUG